rnacentral:lncRNA from 1 species
CCGAGGCCUGCUGGUCCCGGCCAGAGCCGUCCCCGUCCCGCGCCGCCGCUCAAGCUCAGAGAAGGGGCGUGGGGCCACCCCGGGAGCGGCGCAGCCUUUUCCCUACGCGUUGGAGCCCUGGGCUCUGCUCGGCUCCGCUAGUGGUGCCGGAUCCAGGCGACAGCGCGACAGACACCAUUGCCACGUGGGUGCAGCCUCAGGACGUCCUGAAAGCCGGAGAGAAUCAGGUCACACGAACGUGGCCGGUCUGUUGUUAAGCUUCUGCCAAGAGCCAGGCCCGGGGCAGGGGGAGCCCUUCAGAACUGGGAAUUGUCCCUACCCACGGGAAGCUUAGAGGAUGGAGGGCAAUGCGGGGCACAGGUCAUUGGCCUGACCUCCAAGGGGAGUUCCAGGAGUUGUUUCUGGAAGAGGCGACGGGGAGGCCCCAGGAAAUGGCUUGCAGGCCGGUACCAUGAGCAGUGUGGAAACAGCUUCAGAGCAAUAAAGGGGAACGAUAGUCCUGUGUUAUCAUGUUGGAUCUUUGGAAGCAGGCUUCAGCAAUGCAAAUGGACCAAGAUGGGGGCAGCGCACGAGUCAACCAUAACCAUGGCAAGCCCGCCCAUGUGGCCUGAGAAUCUGGGUGAGGAGAACGGGGGCGAUGGAAAGGACUGCCCUCCAGCACCCAGGUCAGGAGUCUGCACUUGAUCUUGUGCAAGGAAGGAGGUGGCCAUUGAGAGAACUGACCCAGUGUGGAGGACCAAGCGAGGAAACCCCAGAGCCAGAGACCAAUUCGACAAAAGGGGUGCUGAGGCUACACACCCAGGCAGUGUCACAUGGAAGUGGGGGACAAAGAGGAAUGAACAUUUGGAGUUGGGAGCCCCAAAACCUGGAGAAUGACUGGAUUCCAGGUUAGGGAAGUGAAGGGUGGAAGAUCUCAGAGGGUUCUUACUCAUGUGGCCUGCCUUGGAUGUCACUAACCAGCAGGGAAGACACAGAAACAUCGAGCAUGUGGUUAGUUUUUUGUUUGUUUGUUUGAGAUGGAGUUUCAUUCUUGUCGCCCAGGCUGGAGUGCAAUGGCAAGACCUCAGCUCACUGCAACCUCCGCCUCCUGGGUUCAGGUGAUUCUCCUGCCUCAGCCUCCCAAGUAGCUGGGAUUACAGAUGCCCACCACCAAACCCAGCUAAUUUUUGUAAUUUUAGUAGAGACAGGGUUUCACCAUGUUGGCCAGGCUGGUCUCAAACUCCUGACCUCAGGUGAUCCACCCGCCUCAGCCUCCCAAAAUGCUGGGAGUAUAGGUGUGAGCCACUGUGCCUGGCCGAGAUGUGGUUAUUGACAUCUCAGUGGGAUUGUGACAUAGCAGGGCUGAACAGAGAUCCGGGUACUCUCUGUAUCCUGGGGUGAGACUGUCAUCUAGGGCAGGGGUCUCUGGCCUCUUUGAGAAUCUGGUGCAUGGGACAGACCCUCUAGUCUGGAGAAGCACACACAAUGUCACAUGUGUGACACGUGACAUGCAACAUCAUUCUCAAACAAUAGCCUGCUUUGGAAGGCCCCCCUGACACCCCUACUGCCCUUGGCACCCCACGGACCCCCAGUGAAGAGCCUCUAACCAGGAGAGAGCAAGGGGAGAAGAAACACCAACUGGGAGAGAAAAUGGACAAGAGCCAUCCUCAUGGGGGAUGUGAAUGGGCAAAAGCCGAGGUCCAGAGGCUGAAGACACAGAGAUGCAUCUGUGGGGGGUCUGGUGAGUGCCCAGGAAAUAAUGGAUUUUUGAAGCUUUCGUCAGUGGUUCCGGCUUGCCAGUGAACACACAGAAUUUACAAUUUUCAUUUGGUUAUUGCUAAUUUGAACAUGGCAGAGACAGUUUGAAUAUGCCAUUACAGUGUGAAAGAACAGUGGCCCCACAUUUCAAGCAGAACUAGUGACAACCAAGUGGUGCUUAAUUGUAAGAGGAACUGUCUUGGGCUUUGCGUUACUGGAGGGUUCCUGGCAUUUUAUAGACCUAAUUUGUAUACAGAUGGAAUCCUAUGUUAAAUGCAAGCGUGGUACUCGCUACUAAGAAAUCCCAUGUAAAUAGGGCCUUCUUGGUAAAGUUUAUCAUCGUUCACCUUUUGUAUUCUCAGACCCAAAGCACUGCAUUCAUUCACUCAAUUUUCCUUGCACCUCUUUGUCUAGAGACUAAGAUGAUUUAUUUCUUAUUUAACACUAUGAAAAACUAAUUUAUGGUUAGGGUGGAUUACCUCUCACAUCUCAAAUGGGGAAGGUGGCCAGGCACGGUGGCUCACACUUGUAAUCCCAGCACUUUGGGAGGCUGAGGCAGGCAGAUCACCAGAGGUCAGGAGUUCGAGACCAGCCUGGCCAACAGGGCGAAACCCCAUCUCUACUAAAAAUACAAAAUUAGCUGGACAUGGCAGUGCACACCUGUAAUCCCAGCUACUCGGGAGGCUGAGGCAGAAGAAUCACUUGAACCCAGGAGGCAGAGGUUGCAGUGAGCUAAGAUCAUGCCAUUGUACUCCAGCCUGGGCAACAAGAGUGAAACUCCAUCUCAAAAAAAAUAAAAUAAAAUAAAAUGGGGAAGUAAAAACAGCCACAGGUCGAACAUCCCUAAUGAAAUGGUUCAAAAUCUGAACAUUUCUGAGCACUGACGUGAUGCCAAAAGUGGAAAAUUCCACACCUGACCUCACAUGACAGGUUACAGUUGAAGCACCAGGCACAUAACACACAGUUUAUUCAGCAGCCCCAGGGGAAAAAAGACCCUUCCAGCCCCCUUCAGCUGUAAUAUCUCUUGUACAUAAACUUUGUUUCACGCACAAAAUUAUUUAAAAUAUUGUAUAAAAUUACCUUCAGACUCUGUGUACAAGGUGUAUAUGAAACAUAAGCGAAUUUCAUGUUUACACUUGGAUAGGAUGAUGUGUUAUUGAAGUGGCCUCAUUUGUCUGGGGUGAUACCCGAGAUUCAUUGUCUCACAGCCACAGAAAACUAAGACAUGGACACACAGAGAGUGAGGUUUAGAGUGGAAGUUAAUAGGUGAAAGAGAAGAGCUAGGUGUAUCAUUUGUAUAAGGUGUUAAAAGUUGGCU